AGCAGCCGCGGCAAUUCCAGCUCCAAUAGCGUAUAUUAAAGUUGUUGCAGUUAAAAAGCUCAUAGUUGAAUUUCGGGGUCAGUAGGUCGGUCGUGCCACUGGUAUGAACUGGUUUUACUGAUUCCUCCCUCUUGAAGAACUGUAAUGCCAUUAAUUUGGUGUUGCAGGGAAUCAGGACUGUUACUUUGAAAAAAUUAGAGUGUUUAAAGCAGGCUUUAGCUUGAAUACAUUAGCAUGGAAUAAUGAAAUAGGACGUUUGAUCCUAUUUUGUUGGUUUCUAGGAUUGACGUAAUGAUUAAUAGGGAUAGUUGGGGGCAUUAGUAUUCAAUUGUUAGAGGUGAAAUUCUUGGAUUUAUUGAAGACUAACUACUGCGAAAGCAUUUGCCAAGGAUGUUUUCAUUAAUCAAGAACGAAAGUUAGGGGAUCGAAGACGAUCAGAUACCGUCGUAGUCUUAACCAUAAACUAUGCCGACUAGGGAUCGGAUGAUGUUAAUUUUUUAAUGACUCA
rnacentral:rRNA from 1 species